UACGUUCCCGGGUCUUGUACACACCGCCCGUCACACCAUGGGAGUGGGUUUUACCAGAAGUAGGUAGCUUAACCGCAAGGGGGGCGCUUACCACGGUAGGAUUCGUGACUGGGGUG
rnacentral:rRNA from 1 species